CUAAAAUUUAGCUCUGCCACGAAGAGAGGGAGGAGAGAGGAGGGUGUCUUGAGCCGUGCUCCAAAGCCCGGGUUGCAAAGCGGGGAAAAAUUGCGGGUCCCCACCCCUCCUUGGAGUAGUUUGGAGGCUCUCUGGGCUGCUUUCUCGGCGAACACUGCUCUCUUGUUCUUAGAAUCACUUUGCCAUCUUGUGGCUCUCGGGAAGGAGGGGCCUCACCCUGCGCUCACCCCCAUUAAUCACCCGGACAGCCCUCGCUUGGCGAGGCCUCUCACCCUUUUCAUCUCCCGGUUUGUAUGCAGCCGCCCGCCCGCUCCAGCCCCGCACAAUGCCGCCUCCUCCCCGCGCCUGCAUCCCGCUCCUGAGCACCCAGGAGCAUCCGCAUCCCGCAUCCCACAUCUCCCAUCCCUCAUCCUGCAUCCCGCAUCCCACAUCUCCCAUCCCUCAUCCCAUAUCCCUCAUCCCACAUCCUGCAUCCACAUCCCACAUCUCUCAUCCCACAUCUCUCAUCCCACAUCCCUCAUCCCGCAUCCAUAUCCCACAUCCUGCACCCUGCACAGGGACAAGGAUGCAGUUUCCAAAUCUAUUUUAUUGCCCCCCUCAUGGCCUCCGAGAUGAUUUACCCCGCAUUGCAAUGAGCCGGUUAUUAUUCCAUUCGGGGGAGGACUUCAUCCUCUUGGGUGCCAAACUUUGGGGUGCAAGCGGGUGGCUGGCACCACGCUCAGAAACAAUGUCCCAGUCCCCUUCAAGGAACCUGGUGCAAGCAAGAGCAACCACCGCAAGGGUGAAAAAUGAGGAGAGAAAGUGCAAAUCCCGUCCAAUUGCAGAUUCGGUGCAUUUUUCUCUCCUUUAGGAGAUGAGCAUUCAUCUCCCGUGCGUGUCGGAGUACGGAUGAGGGCUAAAUGCUACCAGACGUGUGUGCACAUGCCCUGGCGUGGUGCAGAGGUGUGUUUUCCCUUAUGCAGGUGCUUUCCUAAUUCGGGAGCACACCCAUGCGUAUAUUUAGGGUGGCUCUGUGCAAGGGACAGAUCUGCAUCCCUCCUGCUUGCCAAAGCCAAAACCCCAGCCGGGGGGGUGGGGGGGGGACGAGCACCCUGCUUGCUGCCGUGAAAUGCCGGCACCCCGGAGGAGCCGGGAGCUCGCCGGCUGCUCGAGCGCGCCCGGAAAAUGGCUGCUGUAAGCGAAUUACAACUCCAUUCCGGGAAUUAAAUCACAACUCGGCGCUAACUCAAUUGCACCUCGUACGGCGGAAAGGUCAAGCGGGACUCGCGCUCGCGGCGUUCCAGUAAUGAGAGCUUCCAGGCAGCCUCGCCCCGCGCUAACGAGACGAGUGGGGCCGCCCCAGCUCCUUCCCCUCCUGGGCUUCUUCCCGCAGCCCUCAGGAGGGUGCAGGAGGCCCCUUGCACACCCUUGCACGCUUGAGGUGAAGGGCAGGUGGCUUUGCGCAGGCGUGCAACGUGCGGCUUUGCACGGAUUUAAUGCAGCAGUGAAUUUGCAGCCAAAAAGGUGGGAGCAGGCUGGGGUGAUAGAUACAUUUUGGUGCAAAGCAUCGCCCUGGUUCACCACGCUGGGCACAACCAGGAGCGGAUUUCUCGUGAUGCAGAGCGCAGGAGCCCGGUGGGAGCCGGGGCGGGCAGCGUGGUUUGGCCUCGUUGCUACACCAGGGCGCAUGGCCCAGCCGUUUGCCUUCAUCAUUAUUAGAUUGGAAAUGCCCCAGGGGACCGGCUGCCCCCAGCACGCUGGAAAUCCCCAGCUGGAAACCCGCUCACCCCCGCUCCAGCCACGGGUGCAUGGAGCAAGAGACGCUGCCUUGAACGCUCCGCGGCGCGCCAGCAGCCCUCUCCCAGCGCCGCGCGAGAACAAUGGACAAUAAAUAAAUAAACACCCGCUUUUUUUUUUCUUUCUUUCUUUCUUUUUUUUUUUUUUAACCCGAAAUCCUCCCCGUGCAUUAGCAUGCAAGGCGCUCGGUGCCGCUGCGUGACCUUUCUUUGCACCGGCUUCUGGGGAGGAGCGCGGCGCGGCGGCGGGCUGCGAGCGGAGGGGAUUGCGAUGCAGAUUCUAAUUUUGCGAUUACUGUCACAAAGCCAUUUGUCACCCGCCCCGGGGAGACUCCGCGGACGUCAGCCCUCUGAUGCUUCUUAUUGCUGGCCUAAUCUUUACAGAUUGAAUUAAGAUUGGGGGACUUUAUCAGCGGAUGGCGCUGGGUGAAGGGUUAGGCGCGGAUUUCAUUUGUUGGGCAAUGGGAGGACUGGAGGCCUCCACCCCACCGAGCCGAAAAGGGAAAACCGACCCCAAAACCAACACCACCGACACCACCAAAACCCACCUAUUACCGUGUAAUCAAAUCGCCUUUGAGACGCUUUUCGGAAUAAAGCAAGAUGGAUGUUGCGUCCGUCCCCCCGUCUGCAGAGCAGAGGCGAUCGCCCUCCAUCCAGAUAUUAAUUCUCCUAUUAAAUUAAAUAACGCGAA